AUGAACGCUGGCGGCAGGCCUAACACAUGCAAGUCGGGCGGUAACAGGGAUAGCUUGCUAUCUGCUGACGAGCGGCGGACGGGUGAGUAAUGCAUAGGAAUCUGCCUGGUAGUGGGGGAUAGCCCAGAGAAAUUUGGAUUAAUACCGCAUACGCCCUACGGGGGAAAGCUGGGGACCUUCGGGCCUAGCGCUAUCAGAUGAGCCUAUGUCGGAUUAGCUUGUUGGUGAGGUAACGGCUCACCAAGGCGACGAUCCGUAGCUGGUCUGAGAGGAUGAUCAGCCACACUGGGACUGAGACACGGCCCAGACUCCUACGGGAGGCAGCAGUGGGGAAUAUUGGACAAUGGGCGCAAGCCUGAUCCAGCCAUGCCGCGUGUGUGAAGAAGGCCUUCGGGUUGUAAAGCACUUUCAGCGAGGAGGAAAGGGUGUUGCUAAUAUCAACGCCCUGUGACGUUACUCGCAGAAGAAGCACCGGCUAACUCCGUGCCAGCAGCCGCGGUAAU
rnacentral:rRNA from 1 species